GCCAAAAAGAAGCCUUCCAUAUUUGUCCUCGACAAACCGUCAGUCUCCACCAACAAUGCUGGUCUAGCUGGACCGGGUGAGAUGACAAAUGACGCCAUCCAGAGAGAGUUGCUGGAGCUACGAGAGAGAGACCGGCAGAGAGAGCGGCGGGUUCAUCUAUGGGUGGAGAGGGAGAAGCUGCGGAGGGAGGCAAGGGAGGGAAGAGUGAAAGAGCUGGAGAACCAGGUGGAGGACCUACAGGUUUCCAUCGAAGAGCUCCAACAAAAAAACCUUUCACUGAUGAAAAGGAUUGACAAAUUCAAACGGGAUACCUCGGACAGAGUACCGAAGAAAAAAAAGAAGUGUGCCGUCUUCGGAUGAUGAGGAUUCUGAAUGCACAGAUGAAGGUGGAGUGGUCCCUCAGUAAAUUUACGAUAAAUGCUCCAAGGGUACCGUCAAUUAAAGAAGAAAAAAAAACAGCAACUGUCAGUGGAUCUCAGAGAUCUUCAAGAGAAAUAUGCAGAAUUGGAAAAAGAAAUAAAAGAAAUACACAAUGAGCGUGAUCGGUAUAAAAGCUACCUCCGCUCCAUCCAGGGCAACGUCCGAACACUGCUCUAAGGGGAGGUGUUAGAGGCAGCACAUGAGUGCCCAGAUCCAUGCCAACUGCCAAGGUCCAGACUAAGCCUCAAGCCCAGAUCCACACCCAGCCUCAGGUCCAUGUCAAGGUCCAGACCCAGCCUCAGGGCCAAGUCCACACCCAGCCUCAGGUCCAAGUCAAGGUCCAGACCCAGCCUCAGGACCAAGUCCAGCAUGUCCAGACCCAGCCUCAGGCCCAAGUCAAGCAGGUCCAGACCCAGCCUCA